AUCCAGAUGACGAGUCCCAAAAAGGACGAAACGCGCGUCCUGGAU
rnacentral:hammerhead_ribozyme from 1 species